rnacentral:lncRNA from 1 species
UGGGUAUAGAUGGUUUAGAGAGAGAGAGAGAGAGAGAGCUGGGUAUAGAUGGUUUAGAGAGAGAGAGAGUUGGGUAUAGAUGGUUUAGAGAGAGAGAGAGAGAGAGAGAGAGAGAGCUGGGUAUAGAUGGUUUAGAGAGAGAGAGAGAGAGCUGGGUAUAGAUGGUUUAGAGAGAGAGAGAGAGAGGGCUGGGUAUAGAUGGUUUAGAGCGAGAGAGAGAGAGAGAGAGCUGGGUAUAGAUGGUUUAGAGAGAGAGAGAGAGAGAGCUGGGUAUAGAUGGUUUAGAGCGAGAGAGAGAGAGAGAGAGAGAGAGAGCUGGGUAUAGAUGGUUUAGAGAGAGAGAGAGAGAGAGAGAGAGAGAGAGAGCUGGGUAUAGAUGGUUUAGAGAGAGAGAGAGAGAGAGAGAGAGCUGGGUAUAGAUGGUUUAGAGAGAGAGAGAGAGAGAGCUGGGUAUAGAUGGUUUAGAGAGAGAGAGCUGGGUAUAGAUGGUUUAGAGCGAGAGAGAGCUGGAGAGAGAGCUGGAUGAGAGAGAGCUGGGUAUAGAUGGUUUAGAGAGAGAGAGAGAGCUGGGUAUAGAUGGUUUAGAGAGAGAGAGAGAGAGAGCUGGAGCUGGGUAUAGAUGGUUUAGAGAGAGAGAGAGAGCUGGGUAUAGAUGGUUUAGAGAGAGAGAGAUUUGUGAAUCAUUUUCAUUAAGAUUCUACCUACUUUGCACAA